UGUCUGUUUCUCUGUGGGGUGGGAAUUACAUGAGGUAAAAGGCCCAAUACCCAGGCUAUGAGUGAACUCUAGGAUACCUAGGAAUAUAGUGAUUCUUGGGAAGCGGGUGGUAUUGCGCCACUUAGCGGAACUUGGUAUCACGAGCAGUUCAGAUCCUGAUGGGGUAUUAUCGGUACAUACUUCGGGUGUGUACAUGAUGAUAUUCUAUGAAAGGGUUAUUUAUGCUGCGUUUCUCUCGACCUUACCCUGGCCUAGAUGACACCCGUGAGUGGGGAGGGAAUGAUCAUUAUUACAGGUACAAUUGGUGACUUGUUGGUGACUUGUUGGUGACUUGUGAUCCUGUUGGUGACUCGGUUCUACAGAUUGGGUCUCAGAUGAAUUGUGGGUCUCAGAUGAUUUGUGGUUCCGAAUUCAAGCCGAAGCUUUGAUCCUGUGCUCCGAGAUACACAGCCAGCCAGUCUUGUCUGCAUCAUUUGCAUCAUAGCAUGUUUAUUUUCAAAAAAUAAUGCAAAAAAAAAUAAAUUGAAAGUGAAAAAAAGAAAAAAGAAAAAAAGCUAAUCUCU
rnacentral:lncRNA from 1 species